ensembl:lincRNA
AUGGGCGGGCGUUUCUCACACAGGGGAGCCCUGCUUGGCUCUGAGACGAGGAGUCCGCGUUGCGGACAAAGUGAAACCGGACGGUGGCGAAAAAGUACUGGUGGGGGAGACUAUGGACAGCUUCGAGACAAAGUCAAACCCUGCGGAGGGAUGAGACCACCGGACGAUGGAUGGGUGUGGUCCACACAGGGGAACCUGGAAGUGGCGACGAGACUAUUCGCUGUGGCAGGAUGGAAAGGCGUUGGGCACACAAUGAAACACGGUGGCAGCGCUGAGGCUUUUGGCUUCGAGUUGACGGGACGGCUUCGCGGACAAAGUGAAAGCGAGCACAGACGAUUCAUCUGCCCAUAGAGUUCCUCACGGAGGUGCUCAAUGAUGGUGUCAGACCAGCCAGUGCUGGAGAAGUCUCUGGUGAGAAUAUUGAAGAUGUGCUGGAGCAUCUCAUACAUGACCAAUACGGCAUCUUCCUUCCGGAACUGCUGUGCUUGCUUCAUCUCCUCAGGCAUCUGGAAGUCCAUCCUGAACUCGAGGCAAUGUUGAGGAGUUGAAGGUAACUGCCACAGGAGGUUCUGGCACACCUCAAGGCUCCGCCCUUGUUGGAAUCGAAGCAAGCUGUAGCUCCUGCAAAGAGCUGUGGUGGAGAGACACAGCAGGAGAACCAUCUGGAGGAGGCACCGGUAGGUCAUGGUGAAAUCAGGCACAGGUCUGCCUAUUCUGCUAGAAGGUCCUGAAGCUGAGUCUUCAAGAGUUUGCAGAGUGCAUGUCCUUCCUCCUUGAGUGUGGCCUACUUAAACAGGAUGGCCCUCCAUUCUUUCCAUUUGAGAGGAAUUUCCCACUUUCAGUUCUCCCUUUCACUUUUCCCGUGUCAUUUGAAUUAUUCUUUGCCUCUAAAACUCUUUUUCUUUAAGCUCCUUGCUAUUUUAAUAUAUAUAUACCACAUGGAAAAAAGAUAGAGAAACUGAGAAUUUCUAAUGUUUUUUAAAGUUUCAAUGAAUUGCUGAAUGUUAAAGAAAAAUAUAAGCCAAAUCUUUUGAACUAGAUUAUUAUAGGAUUCUUUCAUUUUGAAAAGAUUUUUCUUUUUCUAUUUUCAUAUUAUGAGAUUUGGGGAGAGGGAGCCUUGUUUGUAAGAGUUUCCUUUUUCAGAAGAAUUAGGUUUAAUUCUCAAAUCUGCCAUUACCAAACAACAAUACUUGCAGUUUAUGAUUUUAAAAAAGAUACCUACUUUUUUCUAUCUAAAAGAGAAUAAUGUUAAAUUAAGUUGAUGAACAAUAAAUACAUGAUAUAUGUAUGAUUUAAAUUAAAUACAUGCAGUUUAUGAUUUAUAAAAUGGCACCUAUUUUUUUCUAUCUAAAAUAGAAUGAAGUUCCUAGAGGGGUGGGCGGGGGCAGGGAGGUUCCAGAGGGAAGGGACAUAUGUAUACCUGUGCCUGAUUCAUAUUGCUAUAUGGCAGAAACCAACACAAUAUUGUAAAGCAAUUAUCAUUCACUUAAAACUAAAUAUAUUUAAAUAAAAAGAAAUAAUAAUGUAUAUAAAAAACAAAAUAGAAUGUUGUUAAACAAAGUUGUUCUGAAUAUUUUUGGAGGCCUUAGCCAUGAGGAGCAAGACAUCACAUAACUUUAUCAACCUUGUUGUUGUUUUUCAGGUGCUAAGUGAGGACCGACCUUUUAUGACCCCAUGGAAUGCAGAAUGCCAGGCUUCCCUGUCCUUCAGUACCUCCUGGGUUUGUUCAAACUCAUUAUCACUUCAUGGUAAAUGGAUGGGGAAACAAUGGAAACAGUAACAGACUUUCUUUGCUUGGGCUCCAAAAUCAGUGCAGAUGGUGACUGCAGCUAGGAAAUUAAAAGACCACUUCUUUUUAUAUGAAUGUGCAAUUUAAAAUUUUCUGGAGGCCACAUCAACAGAGUAAACAGAAAAAAGAUAAUUUUAACAGUAUAUUUUACUUAACAAUAUUUCUAAAUGUUAUCAUUUCAACAUAAACCAAUACAAAAUUAGUAGUGAGAUAGUUACAUUCUUCUUUUUCAUAGUGCCUUCAAAAUAGAGUACACGCUGUUAGUCAUAGUACAACUCAGGCUGGACUAGACAAGCGCUCAGCUGGCCACAUGGGGCUGUCGGCUCCACGGUGACCAACACAGCUCAAGAUGGAGGGAGCAGUAGGAAAACAAGAUCAAUAUUAAAAAUCACCCACUUCUUUUUAUAUGAGCAAUUAAAACUUGGAAAAUGACAUUUAAAAAUGAUACCAUUGACAAUAACAUAAAGUGUCUACCACUGAGAAACUGUCAUAGCCAGAGGGGCCUAAGAAGACAAUUAAAGGUAAUGGGAAUUAAAGGUAAUGGGGCAUCCUAAAUGACAUCCCAGAAGAGAAAAAGAACAUUAGGUAAAAAACGAAGGAGACCUGGGAAUUCCCCAGAGAUCUAGUGGUUGGGACUCUAUGCUUUCAGGGCAGGAGGCCCAAGUUCCAUCCCUGGUCAGAGAACUAAGAUCCCACAAGUCUCAGAACCAAAAAUAAGAAACUCAAUAAAAAGUUGCUACAACCAGAGUGUGUGUGGGAGGGGGCCG